CUCUGUGAUAUACUCAAUGUCUGGCAUGGGGAGUAAAAGAGAAGCAAUGCAGAAAUCCGAGUGCCAUAGAGGCGUACAGUUAAGAAACAGAGUGACAGAUAACUGUGAUCAAAAGACAUCAUCAAGUGCACAAAUAAAACAUAGGACUACAGUUCAACAAAGGAGAUCCUCCUCGUCAACCAGUUCUCCAGAAUCUGCAAGAAAACUUCAUCCUCGACCAAGUGAUAAACUUAACCCUAAAACAAUUAACCCUUUUGGUGAACAGUCACGAGCCCCUUCUGCAUUUGCAGCUAUUUACUCUAAGGGAGGUGUUCCUUGCAGAUUGGUCCAUGGUUCAGUAAAACACAGGUUACAGUGGGAGUGUCCUCCUGAAGAGCUUCCAUUUGAUCCUCUUCUUAUUACUUUAGCUGAGGGUCUGAGAGAGACGAAACAUCCAUACACCUUUGUGUCAAAGGAGGGUUUUAGAGAAUUACUUUUGGUCACAGGUGCUCUUGAAAAAGCUGUGCCUUUGCUUCCUAGACUGAUUCCUGUGCUGAAGGCAGCUCUGGUCCACUUGGAUGAUGAAGUGUUUGAAAGAGGAUUGAAUGCUCUGGUACAGUUAAGUGUCAUUGUUGGCCCUUCUCUAAAUGACCAUCUGAAACAUCUGCUUACAAGUCUUUCCAGGAGACUAAGGGACAAGAAAUUCAAAGAACCAAUCACCACUGCAUUACAGAAGCUGGAGCAGCAUGGUGGAAAUGGAAGCCUUACCAUCAUCAAAUCUAAAAUUCCAACAUAUUGCUCCAUAUACUGCUGAAGAAAGUAGCCCUGGUGACAGGUGUUAAACGCUGACCAUGGAGAAAGGAGUAGAGGGAGAGAAACAUCUGGGCAGGAAGAGAGCCGUUAGGGACCCGACUAGCCACACCAAAUCCAAGGCUGACAGACUUCUGAAGGGCUGGAGAUUAGGGGCAGCAAUAUUCUGUCCCGGAAGCCUCGGAGAACACCCUUUCUUUGCUCCACCCUCAGCUCCUGUCAUUCCUGGUCCCCUGUCUGGCACACUCUCUCCUCAGGUGUCUACUCUUGUCACAUCCUCAGGUCACAUCAGCUCACAUGCCUGCCUGCCCACUGGCCUUGCCCUGACUCCUCUUUCCUUGCACUUAGCUCCACCCGAAGACCGAGAUCUCUACCGUUUAGAAAAUGCCAUAAGAAAAAUGUAACGUUUUUAAUCUAGUAAUUAUAAAAUUUAUUGAAA